rnacentral:tRNA from 1 species
GGAGGAGUGGCAGAGUGGUCGAUUGCACCGGUCUUGAAAACCGGCGUGCGUGAAAGCGCACCGUGGGUUCGAAUCCCACCUCCUCCGCCA